GGGUUGUGAGGUUAAGCGACUAAGCGUACACGGUGGAUGCCCUGGCAGUCAGAGGCGAUGAAGGACGUGCUAAUCUGCGAAAAGCGCCGGCGAGGUGAUAUGAACCUUUGACCCGGCGAUGUCCGAAUGGGGAAACCCAGUGUGUUCCGACACACUAUCGUUAACUGAAUACAUAGGUUAACGAGGCGAACCGGGGGAACUGAAACAUCUAAGUACCCCGAGGAAAAGAAAUCAACCGAGAUUCCCCCAGUAGCGGCGAGCGAACGGGGAGCAGCCCAGAGUCUGAAUCAGCUUGUGUGUUAGUGGAAGCGUCUGGAAAGUCGCACGGUACAGGGUGACAGUCCCGUACACGAAAAUGCACAGGUUGUGAACUCGAAGAGUAGGGCGGGACACGUGGUAUCCUGUCUGAAUAUGGGGGGACCAUCCUCCAAGGCUAAAUACUCCUGACUGACCGAUAGUGAACCAGUACCGUGAGGGAAAGGCGAAAAGAACCCCGGCGAGGGGAGUGAAAAAGAACCUGAAACCGUGUACGUACAAGCAGUGGGAGCACCUUCGUGGUGUGACUGCGUACCUUUUGUAUAAUGGGUCAGCGACUUAUAUUCUGUAGCAAGGUUAACCGUAUAGGGGAGCCGAAGGGAAACCGAGUCUUAACUGGGCGUUAAGUUGCAGGGUAUAGACCCGAAACCCGGUGAUCUAGCCAUGGGCAGGUUGAAGGUUGGGUAACACUAACUGGAGGACCGAACCGACUAAUGUUGAAAAAUUAGCGGAUGACUUGUGGCUGGGGGUGAAAGGCCAAUCAAACCGGGAGAUAGCUGGUUCUCCCCGAAAGCUAUUUAGGUAGCGCCUCGUGAACUCAUCUUCGGGGGUAGAGCACUGUUUCGGCUAGGGGGCCAUCCCGGCUUACCAACCCGAUGCAAACUACGAAUACCGAAGAAUGUUAUCACGGGAGACACACGGCGGGUGCUAACGUCCGUCGUGAAGAGGGAAACAACCCAGACCGCCAGCUAAGGUCCCAAAGUCAUGGUUAAGUGGGAAACGAUGUGGGAAGGCACAGACAGCCAGGAUGUUGGCUUAGAAGCAGCCAUCAUUUAAAGAAAGCGUAAUAGCUCACUGGUCGAGUCGGCCUGCGCGGAAGAUGUAACGGGGCUAAACCAUGCACCGAAGCUGCGGCAGCGACGCUUAUGCGUUGUUGGGUAGGGGAGCGUUCUGUAAGCCGUUGAAGGUGUGCUGUGAGGCAUGCUGGAGGUAUCAGAAGUGCGAAUGCUGACAUAAGUAACGAUAAAGCGGGUGAAAAGCCCGCUCGCCGGAAGACCAAGGGUUCCUGUCCAACGUUAAUCGGGGCAGGGUGAGUCGACCCCUAAGGCGAGGCCGAAAGGCGUAGUCGAUGGGAAACAGGUUAAUAUUCCUGUACUUGGUGUUACUGCGAAGGGGGGACGGAGAAGGCUAUGUUAGCCGGGCGACGGUUGUCCCGGUUUAAGCAUGUAGGCGGAACGAUUAGGUAAAUCCGGUCGUUUAUUAACGCUGAGGUGUGAUGACGAGGCACUACGGUGCUGAAGUAACAAAUGCCCUGCUUCCAGGAAAAGCCUCUAAGCAUCAGGUAACAUUAAAUCGUACCCCAAACCGACACAGGUGGUCAGGUAGAGAAUACCAAGGCGCUUGAGAGAACUCGGGUGAAGGAACUAGGCAAAAUGGUGCCGUAACUUCGGGAGAAGGCACGCUGAUAUGUAGGUGAAGCCCCUGCGGGUGGAGCUGAAAUCAGUCGAAGAUACCAGCUGGCUGCAACUGUUUAUUAAAAACACAGCACUGUGCAAACACGAAAGUGGACGUAUACGGUGUGACGCCUGCCCGGUGCCGGAAGGUUAAUUGAUGGGGUUAGCGGCAACGCGAAGCUCUUGAUCGAAGCCCCGGUAAACGGCGGCCGUAACUAUAACGGUCCUAAGGUAGCGAAAUUCCUUGUCGGGUAAGUUCCGACCUGCACGAAUGGCGUAAUGAUGGCCAGGCUGUCUCCACCCGAGACUCAGUGAAAUUGAACUCGCUGUGAAGAUGCAGUGUACCCGCGGCAAGACGGAAAGACCCCGUGAACCUUUACUAUAGCUUGACACUGAACACUGGUCCUUGAUGUGUAGGAUAGGUGGGAGGCUUUGAAGUGUGGACGCCAGUCUGCAUGGAGCCGUCCUUGAAAUACCACCCUUUAAUGGCUGGUGUUCUAACGUAGACCCGUGAUCCGGGUUGCGGACAGUGUCUGGUGGGUAGUUUGACUGGGGCGGUCUCCUCCCAAAGAGUAACGGAGGAGCACGAAGGUUAGCUAAUCCUGGUCGGACAUCAGGAGGUUAGUGCAAUGGCAUAAGCUAGCUUGACUGCGAGAGUGACGGCUCGAGCAGGUGCGAAAGCAGGUCAUAGUGAUCCGGUGGUUCUGAAUGGAAGGGCCAUCGCUCAACGGAUAAAAGGUACUCCGGGGAUAACAGGCUGAUACCGCCCAAGAGUUCAUAUCGACGGCGGUGUUUGGCACCUCGAUGUCGGCUCAUCACAUCCUGGGGCUGAAGUAGGUCCCAAGGGUAUGGCUGUUCGCCAUUUAAAGUGGUACGCGAGCUGGGUUUAGAACGUCGUGAGACAGUUCGGUCCCUAUCUGCCGUGGGCGCUGGAGAAUUGAGGGGGGCUGCUCCUAGUACGAGAGGACCGGAGUGGACGCAUCACUGGUGUUCGGGUUGUCAUGCCAAUGGCACUGCCCGGUAGCUAAAUGCGGAAAAGAUAAGUGCUGAAAGCAUCUAAGCACGAAACUUGCCCCGAGAUGAGUUCUCCCUGAGACUUUAAGUCUCCUGAAGGAACGUUGAAGACGACGACGUUGAUAGGUCGGGUGUGUAAGCGCAGCGAUGCGUUGAGCUAACCGAUACUAAUGAACCGUGAGGCUUAACCUUACAACGCCGAAG
rnacentral:rRNA from 2 species